GAUGAACGCUGGCGGCGUGCCUAAUACAUGCAAGUCGAGCGAACAGACGAGGAGCUUGCUCCUCUGACGUUAGCGGCGGACGGGUGAGUAACACGUGGAUAACCUACCUAUAAGACUGGGAUAACUUCGGGAAACCGGAGCUAAUACCGGAUAAUAUAUUGAACCGCAUGGUUCAAUAGUGAAAGACGGUUUUGCUGUCACUUAUAGAUGGAUCCGCGCCGCAUUAGCUAGUUGGUAAGGUAACGGCUUACCAAGGCAACGAUGCGUAGCCGACCUGAGAGGGUGAUCGGCCACACUGGAACUGAGACACGGUCCAGACUCCUACGGGAGGCAGCAGUAGGGAAUCUUCCGCAAUGGGCGAAAGCCUGACGGAGCAACGCCGCGUGAGUGAUGAAGGUCUUCGGGUCGUAAAGCUCUGUUAUUAGGGAAGAACAAAUGUGUAAGUAACUAUGCACGUCUUGACGGUACCUAAUCAGAAAGCCACGGCUAACUACGUG
rnacentral:rRNA from 1 species